rnacentral:tRNA from 1 species
GCUGGAGUUGGUGUUCGGCAACUGGACACCAGCCUGCCUUGCGUGCAAUCAUCCGGAAAGUUGCUUGGUUCCACUCCGACUCGAGCC